rnacentral:rRNA from 1 species
AGCCCGCGGUAAUACGGAGGGGGUUAGCGUUGUUCGGAAUUACUGGGCGUAAAGCGCGCGUAGGCGGAUUAGUCAGUUAGAGGUGAAAUCCCAGGGCUCAACCCUGGAACUGCCUUUAAUACUGCUAGUCUUGAGUUCGAGAGAGGUGAGUGGAAUUCCGAGUGUAGAGGUGAAAUUCGUAGAUAUUCGGAGGAACACCAGUGGCGAAGGCGGCUCACUGGCUCGAUACUGACGCUGAGGUGCGAAAGUGUGGGGAGCAAACAGGAUUAGAUACCCUGGUAGUCCACACCGUAAACGAUGAAUGCCAGUCGUCGGCAAGCAUGCUUGUCGGUGACACACCUAACGGAUUAAGCAUUCCGCCUGGGGAGUACGGUCGCAAGAUUAAAACUCAAAGAAAUUGACGG